rnacentral:rRNA from 1 species
AGUGAACGCUGGCGGUAGGCCUAACACAUGCAAGUCGAACGGCAGCACAGGAGAGCUUGCUCUCUGGGUGGCGAGUGGCGGACGGGUGAGGAAUACAUCGGAAUCUACUCUGUCGUGGGGGAUAACGUAGGGAAACUUACGCUAAUACCGCAUACGACCUACGGGUGAAGGCAGGGGACCUUCGGGCCUUGCGCGAUUGAAUGAGCAGAUGUCGGAUUAGCUAGUUGGAGGGGUAAAGGCCAACCAAGGCGACGAUCCGUUGCUGGUCUGAGAGGAUUAUAAGACACACUGGAACUGAGACACGGUCCAUACUCCUACGGGAGGCAGCAGUGGGGAAUAUUGGACAAUGGGCGCAAGCCUGAUCCAGCCAUACCGCGUGGGUGAAGAAGGCCUUCGGGUUGUAAAGCCCUUUUGUUGGGAAAGAAAUCCAGCUGGCUAAUACCCGGUUGGGAUGACGGUACCCAAAGAAUAAGCACCGGCUAACUUCGUGCCAGCCGCCGCAGUAAUAC